GUGCUCGCUUUGGCAGCACAUAUACUAAAAUUGGAAUGAUGCAGGGAAGAUUAGCAUGGCCCCUGCGCAAGGAUGACACGCAAAUUUGUGAAGCAUUCCAAAGUUAA
rnacentral:snRNA from 1 species